UAGGGAAUCUUGGGCAAUGGGCGAAAGCCUGACCCAGCCAUGCCGCGUGUGUGAAGAAGGCCCUAGGGUUGUAAAGCACUUUCAGAAGAGAAGAAAAGCUCAGGGAUAAUACCUCUGAGUCUUGACGUUAACUUCAGAAGAAGCACCGGCUAACUCCGUGCCAGCAGCCGCGGUAAUACGGAGGGUGCGAACGUUAAUCGGAAUUACUGGGCGUAAAGCGCGCGUAGGCGGUUUGUUAAGUGGGAUGUGAAAGCCCCGGGCUUAACCUGGGAACUGCAUUCCAAACUGGCAGACUAGAGUAUGGUAGAGGGAGGUAGAAUUUCCUGUGUAGCGGUGAAAUGCGUAGAUAUAGGAAGGAAUACCGGUGGCGAAGGCGGCCUCCUGGACCAAUACUGACGCUGAGGUGCGAAAGCGUGGGGAGCAAACAGGAUUAGAUACCCCCGUAGUCC
rnacentral:rRNA from 1 species